UCAGAUCUACCAACCUCCUCAGAAAUGUCGUACAGACAGUCACUCAUAACUUUUUGUCUUUUACAUAUCAUACAAUUAUAAUUAAGAAAAAUUGGUGAUGAAUAUGCAAAACAUUUCAUAAGCCUAUAGAAAAGCCAGUAUCACGGACGAUGGACAAAAUCUUAUGGGCUCGAGGAUUAGACAAUGGAGGUUUAAUGGUGUCGAAUUUAAAGUUACGAUGUCGUAGAUUGCAGGGAUCAAGGAUUUUGAAAAUAAUUGGGUCAAGGAUCACGAUUAUAGCUUGGAAGGCACUAUCCAAACGAGCGCUUUGGCGUUGAGAGACCGUACAGAAAGAAAGUAUAGUAGGCGAUAGUUUUAACGAGAUUCUGGGAUUGACGACAGCUUGUCAUUACUUUAACUGAUGAGCAAUGGACAAAAACUACGUCAAAUGUAUUAAAAUGAAAAUUCAGAAUUUAAUUAUAUAUUUUGCGUACAAGUUUUACUGAGUAAGUUAAAAGAAACAUUUGUACCAACAAUUUAUAAAAUAUUUCUAGAUGGAAGAAGAACGUUGAAAGUAAUUAAAAUCAUUGAAACAUAGAGAGUACCGUCA